CCCGGCUCGAGGGAGUAGGUAUUAGUAACAGCUGCUCCAGCCCGAGCUCGCUCCCAGCGGCGCCCGCCCGGAGCCGGAGACACGCAGAUCAUGGACAGAAGUUUCUCCCCGCGCCGCUCGGGGGGGCUCCUCCUGGCAGCAGCAGCGCUCUGCGUUUGGGGGGCAGCGGGCAAGGUAUAUUAUUCUUGUGGCGCAGUGUUGGAAUCCAUGGAAAGAGGUCUGAUUUUAUCCCCCGGUUUUCCAAACAACUACUACCCAGGGACGCAUUGCGUAUGGCAGUUUUUCAUUCCUGUGCAAACUCAUCUUAUCCUGGAAAUUUUUGAUUUUGAUAUAUUUGCGAGCUCAAGUGAAACUCCUGAGCCCUGGGAUGGCUUUACACCUCCUCCUACAAGAAGAAAUAAGGAAAUGCCUUCCAGUGAAGAAAGCUUGGAUUUUCCCACCUCUUUUUCUACCACAAAAUCCUUUCUUCAGACCUGGAUGGCAAGGGUGACUCACAGUCUUAACAGCCCAGGACCUCAGUCAAAAUUCCUUGAUGGCCUCCACAAUGAAUUCCCAGGAACCACCUUAAAAAAAAAUGAAGCCAAACAAGCAUCUGAAGAAAAACAGUUGAAACAGAUGGAAGAACCCAAAGAAAUAGUCAGGACUCAGCCAGGUGGACUGUCAUUCACUGUAGCUGGCAGUGCGGCAAUGCCAAGGCAAGAUAUCAGUGGCUUGGAAAUGAACAAAGAUUUGAAAGGGAAAAUACUGCUUGCUCACCUCACUGCAAGAGAGAGAGACCAGGUCAUUGGAGAAAGCCAGACUCUUUCCACAACAGCUCUGCCAACAGAAAGCUUUUCCCCACAGCAGCCUGCAAUAGAUGUAUGUCCCCAUGAUGUCUUGUAUGUUUCUGACCUCAUCACAUUUUCCUCUCGCUUUUGUGGGACAAAUUCACCUUUAAACAAGACCAUGGUCUUUGGUUCUUCUCUGGAGAUGGUGGAGGUUAUUAUGGAGCUGAUCACCACCACAGACCGUGGACGGGGUUUUGCAAUGCUCUUUGAAUACAAGAACAUCACUAAAUCUAGCAGUGUAGAUGCUGGGAGGCAAGCAGGAAAGGAAAGCACGACGAUGCUGACAGUAGUAAUGGGAAUUAGCAUUUUUGCACUCAUUCUUUUAUCCACCCUCUGCAUAACUUGCAGCACAAGACUAAGGGAGAAACUAAAAGUCUGCUCUUUUGAGGAGAGUUUAAUGGUACUUGAGAUGAUGCGUGGCUUCCACUUCUGGUUCUGCUGCAGACCCGUUGUAGUAUCUUGGAAAGCCUAG
rnacentral:lncRNA from 1 species